AAACCGUAGUGGGGACAUUCUCUUAUAUACCCUUUAUAGCGAUCCCAAGCUUCAUGGAAAAAUUCACCUUUUUGUUGGAACUUAUAAUUCUUGUCUCUAAAGAGGCU
rfam:Eutrema salsugineum unplaced genomic scaffold scaffold_1, whole genome shotgun sequence.